rnacentral:rRNA from 1 species
UAGGGAAUCUUCCACAAUGGACGCAAGUCUGAUGGAGCAACGCCGCGUGAGUGAAGAAGGUUUUCGGACCGUAAAGCUCUGUUGUUGGUGAAGAAGGAUAGAGGUAGUAACUGGCCUUUAUUUGACGGUAAUCAACCAGAAAGUUACGGCUAACUACGUGCCAGCAGCCGCGGUAAUCGUAGGUGGCAAGCGUUGUCCGGAUUUAUUGGGCGUAAAGCGAGCGCAGGCGGAAGAAUAAGUCUGAUGUGAAAGCCCUCGGCUUAACCGAGGAAUUGCAUCGGAAACUGUUUUCUUGAGUGCAGAAGAGGAGAGUAGAACUCCAUGUGUAGCGGUGGAAUGCGUAGAUAUAUGGAAGAAUACCAGUGGCGAAGGCGGCUCUCUGGUCUGCAACUGACGCUGAGGCUCGAAAGCAUGGGUAGCGAACAGGAUUAGAUACCCUGGUAGUCCAUGCCGUAAACGAUGAGUGCUAAGUGUUGGGAGGCUUCCGCCUCCCAGUGCUGCAGCUAACGCAUUAAGCACUCCGCCUGGGGGAGUACGACCGCAAGGUUGAAAC